CUAACCUGGUUGAUCCUGCCAGUAGUCAUAUGCUUGUGUCAAAGAUUAAGCCAUGCAUGUCUAAGUUCAAAUGAUGUAAAAAGUGAAACUGCGAAUGGCUCAUUAAAUCAGUUAUUGUUUAUUUGAUAGUGAUCUUACUACUUGGAUAACCGUAGUAAUUCUAGAGCUAAUACAUGCCUUUGUGAUUCCCGACU
rnacentral:rRNA from 1 species